GCCGUUCCACCCAGUAUGGUGGUUAUGACACUCGUCUUGUAAUCGAGUGGACUCGGGUUCGAAUCCCGAAUGAGGCA
rnacentral:tRNA from 1 species